rnacentral:rRNA from 1 species
AUGGUCUCCUAUCCUUCUUCCUGUAACUCCUUCGGGCCGGCAGCCGUCGUCGUCAGGUUCACCGCCGUUACCACGACAUCGGCGGACCUCGACGCCAUAACCGCAAUGCCCGUGAUCUUCUGCGGUUCAGAAGCCGCCGGAACAAUUUCUGUCGCUUCUGAGGGCGUCGCCGUGGUCUUGGACUUGGCGCCCGAGAUCUUGGCGCUCGCCACGGUGCUGGACCCUCUGGUGCUCCGCCUGAACCGACUAUGCCGGAGGCAGCGCCGCUGCCGGCCUGGAUUCUGGCCGGACCAACCGCUCCGAUGUUACAGGCGGACGAGGUCUUGGAGCCCGAGGUCGAUGCAGGGCCGGCCCAUAGGCCGGGGCAACGGGGCGACCGCCUGGGCCCCUGGGAGCUACGCUGCUGCAGCGCUCCAUCGAUCUCCUUCUGUCUCGUCUCCAGUUUCCUCGCCCCCUCGGCUCCUCCCCAAAUUUUCCAAUCCCAAAGAACAGUGCCGUAGCUCCGGUGCACUUCCAAAUUCAAGGCGCCGCUCCGUGUAUCCAUUAAUGGAGACCAACAAUGUUGUUCCUCUGCCCAAUCAUCUCUCUUUGCAUCCUCAACGUUCCACAUCUGAUUGCAGAUGCUUGAGGCAUCACCGCAUUAGAGAUGCCGGAACUUGCGGCUCCUUCACCACCGCCCCCGUGCCCGAUGCACCGCUGGGGCCAUGCCCGACCCCGCCGUCGUCUCCUCCGCGGGACUACGAGGUCCAGGAGAAGGUCGAGCCCGCGCCACCAGCGCUGCCCGCGGAGCCCGCACAGCCGGACUCGCCGCGCCUUCCGUCGCCGACUCCGGCGCACGAGGCAGUGGCCGCUGGGGCUUCUGCGGCAAGCUUUGGGCUGGGGAUGCACAUGCCCUCGCUGGUUGGUGCGCGCGCCAUGAACAUGGAUGCCGGCGCCUCUUCGUUGAGCGCGAGCCUCGGGCUGCGCCUCCCCGCGUCGGCUGUUGCGCGCGGGGACGUCCUCGACAACGGAGCCGCCAGCUCCUCCGUUCCAUUGGCGCCCCGCCACUGGCACAUAGUGCCGCGCGCUGUCCUGCAGCACGCCGGUAGUCGGCCGGGGCGAUGGAGCCCGGUGAAUCUUGGGCUGGCCAAUGGCCACUCCAACGGCGUCGCGCCAGGGGCGCACAUUCCCGGAGGAUCUUCUUCUUCUUCAGAGGAGGAGGACGCUGCGCCGGGGCAUUCUACACGCCGGCAUGGCCUUCAGGACGAACCUCAUGCUACACAUGUCUCCAAGAGAUGGAUAAUGUUGAUCAUAUCCUUGCACAAUGUGUCUAUGCCCAGACAAGCCUUCCAAAAGGAGGAGAGGCGUGGGUUUGACACUUUGGUUAUCUGUGCCACGUGGUCCAUGUGGAAGCAGCGAAACGCCCGUAUCUUCAAUCGGAGAGAACAACAGUUAGAUGCGCAGGCCUUGACGAGUAGCAUUCUUGAGGAGAUUAAGGAAUGGAAACUUGCUAGAGGCGGACAUUUGUCAUUGGUUGUGACUACACUGUCACAUGCUCCAUCAGGAGAGGAUUCCAAGGCAACAGUGGCGACUAUACUACAUAUUAUGCUAUGA